UUAGACACAGGUGUGUGUGGAGGCGGGAGCUUUCCUUUGUUAGUGGACACAGGCAGCGGACGCGGGAGCAGCUGAGCUGACGGCAGAGGACGCGGUGUGAGAGUGCAUCGAGUCCGGUGAACAGGAGAGGAACGCCUCGGUGGAGUCGUGUGUGUGUGUCCGCUGCCGCACGGGGAUCCAGGCCGCCGCAACGCCGCAGAGGCACGGUGCGAGAGGGGGAAGCCUGGGAUGAAGGUGGAGGGGUGGGGACGCUCCACCCUCCUGCAGACACAGAUGAAAGAGUCUGAGGACCGAAGACGUUCAACGAGGAGGAAAUAACGAGUGGCAGAAAGAGGAAACAGCAAAUGUAUAAAUACACCCUCCCGGGAGCUGCUCCCGGGAGCCGACGUUCACACCCCAGAAUGACUCCUCAUCUCUAUUCUCCUCCGAGAGAAGGAGAAAUGAGCUUUGGUGCUGAGUUUAAAGAGGAUUAGAAAUGAGCUUGUGAAGAGGUUUUCAUCCGAGCUGAGGACGGAGAGUUUUCCCUGCAGCUGAAGAACAGUUCGCUUUCACUCACUUUUCAUUUACAACCGAUUUUUAAGUGUAAAAGUCAGAAUUAAAUUUUAAAGCAGACACACAUUUGGCAUUAAAUCCUGUUUUUCUGUAUGUGAACAGUGUGUGGCAGGAUAAUUAGGUCUGUCUGAAUUUUGUCCCUCUGGGCUCCCAUCCAAACAUCAUAUUCUGCUCUCUCUUUUUAUUACUUUUUUUUUUUUUUUUUGUGCUGAGCCUCUGAGAGAACGGAGUUAUUAAAACAGAAGAUGUGAACA